rnacentral:rRNA from 1 species
UACGGGGGGGGCAAGCGUUGCUCGGAAUUACUGGGCGUAAAGGCUCGUAGGCGGCCAACUAAGUCAGACGUGAAAUCCCUCGGCUUAACCGGGGAACUGCGUCUGAUACUGGAUGGCUAGAGGUGGGAGAGGGAUGCGGAAUUCCCAGGUGUAGCGGUGAAAUGCGUAGAUAUCUGGAGGAACACCGGUGGCGAAGGCGGCAUCCUGGACCAAUUCUGACGCUGAGGAGCGAAAGCCAGGGGGAGCAAACGGG